rnacentral:rRNA from 1 species
CACGUAGGGACCAAGCGUUGUUCGGAUUUACUGGGCGUAAAGGGCGCGUAGGCGGCAAUUCAAGUCAUCUGUGAAAUCUCCGGGCUUAACCCGGAACGGUCAGAUGAUACUGCUUUGCUAGAGUGCGGAAGGGGCAAUCGGAAUUCUCGGUGUAGCGGUGAAAUGCGUAGAUAUCGAGAGGAACACCUGAGGUGAAGACGGGUUGCUGGGCCGACACUGACGCUGAGUGCGCGAAAGCCAGGGGAGCAAACGGG